rnacentral:rRNA from 1 species
GAUGAACGCUGGCGGCGUGCCUAAUACAUGCAAGUCGAGCGAACAGACGAGGAGCUUGCGCCUUCGACGUUAGCGGCGGACGGGUGAGUAACACGUAGGUAACCUACCUAUAAGACUGGGAUAACUUCGGGAAACCGGAGCUAAUACCGGAUAAUAUUUCGAACCGCAUGGUUCGAUAGUGAAAGAUGGCUUUGCUAUCACUUAUAGAUGGACCUGCGCCGUAUUAGCUAGUUGGUAAGGUAACGGCUUACCAAGGCAACGAUACGUAGCCGACCUGAGAGGGUGAUCGGCCACACUGGAACUGAGACACGGUCCAGACUCCUACGGGAGGCAGCAGUAGGGAAUCUUCCGCAAUGGGCGAAAGCCUGACGGAGCAACGCCGCGUGAGUGAUGAAGGUCUUCGGAUCGUAAAACUCUGUUAUUAGGGAAGAACAAACGUGUAAGUAACUGUGCACGUCUUGACGGUACCUAAUCAGAAAGCCACGGCUAACUACGUG